UGGAAUACAGUUUCGAACCUGAUUCUCAGUAUCUGAUCCAGAAAGAGACUCGGCUGCAGGUACAUGUGAACAGGACUGAGCCCACCACUGUAUAUCUGCCAGUCAUUCCAACACUUCUCAUCCUGCCCAUCUGCUUCAUAAUCUUCAUCAACUUCAGCAACAAAGGAGGGUGUUCACAGCAAAUCAAGAGAACGACACCUUUGAAAAGG